GAACGCUGGCGGCGUGCUAAUACACGCAAGUNUAGCGGACAGAUGGGAGCUUGCUCCCUGAUGUUAGCGGCGGACGGGUGAGUAACACGUGGGUAACCUGCCUGUAAGACUGGGAUAACUCCGGGAAACCGGGGCUAAUACCGGAUGNUUGUCUGAACCGCAUGGUUCAGACAUAAAAGGUGGCUUCGGCUACCACUUACAGAUGGACCCGCGGCGCAUUAGCUAGUUGGUGAGGUAACGGCUCACCAAGGCGACGAUGCGUAGCCGACCUGAGAGGGUGAUCGGCCACACUGGGACUGAGACACGGCCCAGACUCCUACGGGAGGCAGCAGUAGGGAAUCUUCCGCAAUGGACGAAAGUCUGACGGAGCAACGCCGCGUGAGUGAUGAAGGUUUUCGGAUCGUAAAGCUCUGUUGUUAGGGAAGAACAAGUGCCGUUCAAAUAGGGCGGCACCUUGACGGUACCUAACCAGAAAGCCACGGCUAACUACGUGCCAGCAGCCGCGGUAAUACGUAGGUGGCAAGCGUUGUCCGGAAUUAUUGGGCGUAAAGGGCUCGCAGGCGGUUUCUUAAGUCUGAUGUGAAAGCCCCCGGCUUCAACCGGGGGAAGGGUCAUUUGGAAACUGGGGAACUUGAGUGCAGAAGAGGAGAGUGGAAUUCCACGUGUAGCGGUGAAAUGCGUAAGAGAUUGUGGAGGACACCAGUGGGCGAAGGCGACUCUCUGGUCUGUA
rnacentral:rRNA from 1 species